ACGCUCGACACCUACGGGAGGAGCAGUAGGGAAUCUUCCACAAUGGACGCAAGUCUGAUGGAGCAACGCCGCGUGAGUGAAGAAGGUUUUCGGAUCGUAAAGCUCUGUUGUUGGUGAAGAAGGAUAGAGGUAGUAACUGGCCUUUAUUUGACGGUAAUCAACCAGAAAGUCACGGCUAACUACGUGCCAACAGCCGCGGUAAUCUGAGCGGGCUGGCAAGGC
rnacentral:rRNA from 1 species